rnacentral:lncRNA from 1 species
AGAGAACUGUCAGAUCUUUGGUUCCUGAUAGAAGGACAUAGCAUAGAGUGGCAUUUAUUAAUGUUUAUAAUGGCAAAAAGAGGAAAAUUUACUGGAAUGUGUUUCCAGAUAGCAGGGAACUCAUGCACCUGUCCACGGAUGGUCACAGCGGACUUUGGCAGAGACUGACACAUAGAAAAACAUGCAAGGGAAGCUGCAGCCCUUGACCACAGACUUGCAUGUUCACCUGGCCAUGAACUAUAAGAAGCUGGAAGGUGUCUCCCCAUGUCAUCAAAGUGAGACUGCAGAUGGGUGAGUACAAGUGUAAGAGGCUAUAGUGCAUAACUCAUUACACUAAUCUUCUGAGUCUGGAAAAUAUGCUUCUUAUAAGAUAAACUUGUUAUAGACAAUCUAGGUAUUGAAUAUUUUCAACAAAGAAAAUUUUUUUGGAUUUUCCAUUAUGGCACAAUGGGUUAAGAAUCUGACUGCAGCGGCUCAGUUCACUGCAGAGUGGCAGGUUCAAUCCCUAGCUUGGCAAAGUGGGUUAAAUGACCUAGCAUUGCCAAAGCCGCAUCUCAGAUUCAGUUCCUGGCCUGGGAACUUACAUAUGCCAAAGAUGUGGCCAUAAAAAAAAAAGACAAGAAAAAGAAAAAAAGUCUUGUUAAUAACUCUUUGUGUCAUUUCCAGUCUAUCUUAUAUAUAUAAAAUGCAAAAAUAUUUCCUUCCUGAAACUGAUGUUUAUUACUUUGUUUAGAAGUCAUAAUGUUUCACAAAAUACAGUAA